CCAUUACAUUAGUUAAAUUAACGACAUAUUUAGUAGGAGCAUUGGCGACUUAUAGGAAUGGUUAAAAAUAACUCAAAUUGAGUAUAAUUUGACACUACGGAUUUAACAGUGUGCGUUUGCGAUAGUAAACUUCGCAAUUGACGACGACGACAACGAAUGAACGGACGAACAGUUAUAUAGAAAAUAAUUCGACCCAACUGGUUGUGGCAUUUAACGGCGAAAUACCAGUAGAUUAGCCGCAGGGGAUAAGAAGCGACGACAGGCAUCUCAGGAGAGUUGUCUGCAAAAUACGGCAGAUGUUCGUGGAAUGACAGGUAAGUACAACAAGUAAGCUAAAAGAACAAAUUCCCGGACAACUACCUAAACUUGGGCAUUUUUAUAUUGUCUUGAUCUUCAAAUUAUGAAUAUUUAAAUUCUCAAAAUUCUCAAGAAUAUAUUUUUCAUGUUGAACGUUUAAAUAUUCGUAUUUAAUAGCGUGUCCGGACAUUGGUGCUUUUACUUUAAAAUUACGAGAAAAUUUGGUCCAGUCUCUCGCGUUGCUGACGAACAUUUCCAUUCUCACGUUCGACGAGAGAUCGAGGCCUUGCAAUAGCGAUUUUCAAUUUCAAUAAACGCGACCAAUCCUUGCAAUUAAGACGUUGCAACUUACGCUUGAUCAUUAAGUUGUCUCGUUGCAGUCGACAGAUAGACGUUAAGCUUCUGGGAAGGACAACCGCCUGUUACGAAUAUAGACUGAUUGUAUAACAGCUGAUCUCGUGUGACCUCAGAAUUGAAUGGCCCGCGGUGAUUUAAUCGGAAUCGCGGUGCUCCGAGAAGCGGCUUGUGUCAUCGGGAAACGCUGAGCAUCGCGGCCAGGUAACCGGCAAACCGAGGAAGCCAUAUCGCGCCGGGAUUCCCUUCUGUCGAAGGCGCGACUACCGUUACGGCUUCACUCCGACACAUGUAUCAUGAGGAAAAGAUCGUUCUCUAAUCACUGAGAGAAUUCAUCCUAUACAAAAUUAACAAACGGAUAUUUCUGAUCAAAGUAUCGAUCAAUUUUUAUAUCCGACCAGGAUAUCCGAUUAAAUUUAAUCGAAUACAUCGCCGAUCAUAAUGGCGUUUCAUCAGUUAAAUCGAUCAAAAAAUUAUGAACCGAUAUUUCUCAUUGGAUGUUUCCUGAUUGGAUACAAAAAUUCAUCAGUGUCUUGAUCGGAAAUACCCGUUUGUUAAUUUCUUAUCGAAUAGUUUUUCUCAGUGUGGAGCCUGUUUCCGAUCUGCGAGUCACUGUUCGAUUUAAAAUCGAGCGAUCGUCACAUACACGAAAAGCACGAAGAAGAUCUUCCAAUGAAACACGAAGACAAGCGCGACCCGUGGACCUUGAGUCCCUCGUUGCUUUCCCCACAAGUUCAACAAACCUCAGGAACCUACAACGCGUCACAUCGCCAAAGAAGAUGCGCUUAGAAAAUACUUUGCAUUUAAUUGCAUAAUAAGAUAAUUAUCGGCGGAAAAGACAUUUUUCUAGCAAGCACUGCCACAAUAUUGUUAAUAACAACCUCGUGUCAGUGUUGGGCAUUAAUCGAUUAAAAUUUUCUUCGAUAAUAGUAACCGAUAAA